rnacentral:rRNA from 1 species
UACGAAGGGGGCUAGCGUUGCUCGGAAUCACUGGGCGUAAAGGGUGCGUAGGCGGGUUUUAAGUCAGGGUGAAAUCCUGGAGCUCAACUCCAGAACUGCCUUUGAUACUGAAGAUCUUGAGUCCGGGAGAGGUGAGUGGAACUGCGAGUGUAGAGGUGAAAUUCGUAGAUAUUCGCAAGAACACCAGUGGCGAAGGCGGCUCACUGGCCCGGUACUGACGCUGAGGCACGGAAAGCGUGGGGAGCA